rnacentral:rRNA from 1 species
UACGUAGGGUGCGAGCGUUAAUCGGAAUUACUGGGCGUAAAGCGUGCGCAGGCGGUUCGUUAAGUCCGUUGUGAAAGCCCCGGGCUCAACCUGGGAAUUGCGGUUGAAACUGGCGAACUAGAAUCUGGCAGAGGGGGGUGGAAUUCCACGUGUAGCAGUGAAAUGCGUAGAGAUGUGGAGGAACACCGAUGGCGAAGGCAGCCCCCUGGGCUGAGAUUGACGCUCAGGCACGAAAGCGUGGGGAGCAAACAGG